GAUGAACGCUAGCUACAGGCUUAACACAUGCACGUCGCGGGGCAUCAUUGGGCUUGCUUGCUAUCCCCGAUGGCUACCGGAGCACGGGUGAGUAACGCCUAUCCCACCUGCCCUUCACCACGUGCUCCCCCGGCGAAAGUCGGACUAAUCCCCUAUGUUGUCCAUUCACGGCCUCCGAUCUGUACGAACUGCUUGGCAGCCGGGGCUGGGGAUGCGUCCGGUUAGCCAUACGGCGUGGCAACGGCCCACCGUGGCUGCGAUCCGUCGGGGUUAUGAGAGGAAGGUCCCCCACACGGGAACUGAGACACGGUCCAGACUCCUACGGGAGGCAGAAGUGAGGAAUAUUGGUCAAUGGGCGUAAGCCUGAACCAGCCAAGUAGCGUGCAGGAUGACGGCCCUAUGGGUUGUAAACUGCUUUUAUGCGGGGAUAAAGUGGCCCACGUGUGGGCUUUUGCAGGUACCGCAUGAAUAAGGACCGGCUAAUUCCGUG
rnacentral:rRNA from 1 species